UCCUACGGGAGGCAGCAGUGGGGAAUUUUGGACAAUGGGCGCAAGCCUGAUCCAGCAAUGCCGCGUGAGUGAAGAAGGCCUUCGGGUUGUAAAGCUCUUUUGUCAGGGAAGAAACGGUAGAGGCUAAUAUCCUUUGCUAAUGACGGUACCUGAAGAAUAAGCACCGGCUAACUACGUGCCAGCAGCCGCGGUAAUACGUAGGGUGCAAGCGUUAAUCGGAAUUACUGGGCGUAAAGCGUGCGCAGGCGGUUUUGUAAGUCUGACGUGAAAUCCCCGGGCUCAACCUGGGAAUUGCGUUGGAGACUGCAAGGCUAGAAUCUGGCAGAGGGGGGUAGAAUUCCACGUGUAGCAGUGAAAUGCGUAGAGAUGUGGAGGAACACCGAUGGCGAAGGCAGCCCCCUGGGUCAAGAUUGACGCUCAUGCACGAAAGCGUGGGGAGCAAACAGGAUUAGAUACCCUGGUAGUCCACGCCCUAAACGAUGUCUACGUAGUUGUCGGGUUUUAAUUAACUUGGUAACGCAGCUAACGCGUGAAGUAGACCGCCUGGCCACUACGAACCAUGGCG
rnacentral:rRNA from 1 species